GGAGUUGUGGCUCAGCGGUGUAGUGCUUGCUUACCAUGUGCAAGGCCCUGAGUUCGAUCCUCAGCACUACA
rnacentral:tRNA from 1 species